AUGGCGGAGUCGCCCGAGAACACCACCGCGGCGCCCGCCGCUCCUCCCGCCCCCGCCCCGGCCCCGGCGCCGAAGCCGUCCCCGCCCGCCAGGUCCGGGAUCCCACCGCGGUACGACCUCGACGCCAAGUGGGACGCCUGCCUCGACCUCUCCAUCCGCCGCGUCGCCCACUCCUCCCUCGCCGGCGCCUUCGGGGGCCUCAUCCUCUUCCCCCCUGCGCCACCGCCCUCUCUCCUCUCCUCCCCUACUCCCUCACCCAUCUCUCUCCCCCGUAGACGAACCCCGCCGCCAGGAGGCCGCCAUGGAGGCCCGUCCCGAGAUUGCUUCGCUGCUCCUUCAGUGACCCUCGUUGCGCCUGGAUCCGAGCGGAUCCGACGAUUCCCCGACGCGCAGAAUACCGACGAGUCAACGGACACAUGA
rnacentral:rRNA from 1 species